rnacentral:rRNA from 1 species
UACGGAGGUCCCGAGCGUUGUUCGGAUUCAUUGGGCGUAAAGGGUGCGUAGGCGGCGAUGCAAGUCUGAUGUGAAAUCCCGGGGCUCAACCCCGGAACUGCAUUGGAUACUGCCUUGCUUGAGUACUGGAGAGGGAACUGGAAUUUACGGUGUAGCAGUGAAAUGCGUAGAGAUCGUAAGGAAGGCCAGUGGCGAAGGCGAGUUCCUGGACAGUUACUGACGCUGAGGCACGAAGGCGAGGGGAGCAAACGGG